rnacentral:rRNA from 1 species
AUACGUAGGUGGCGAGCGUUAUCCGGAAUUAUUGGGCGUAAAGGGUGCGUAGGCGGCUAUUUAAGUUUAAGGUUAAAGUUCAGAGCUCAACUCUGUGAUGCCUUAGAAACUGGGUAGCUAGAGUACAGGAGAGGUGAGUGGAAUUCCAUGUGUAGCGGUAAAAUGCGUAGAGAUAUGGAGGAACACCAGUGGCGAAGGCGACUCACUGGCCUGUAACUGACGCUGAGGCACGAAAGCGUGGGGAGC